AGUCGAGGAUCAUUCGCAAUGCGCGAAAGCGUGACGAUGCGACGCUGCGUGGAGGAUGACGGCCUUAGGGUUGUAAACUCCUGUCAUGAGGGAAAAACGGCCAUAGGGUUAAUAGCCCUAUGGUGUGAUGGUACCUCAAGAGGAAGCCACGGCUAACUCUGUGCCAGCAGCCGCGGUAAUACAGAGGUGGCGAGCGUUGUUCGGAUUUACUGGGCGUAAAGGGUGCGUAGGUGGUAAUGUAUGUCGGAUGUGAAAUCCCGAGGCUCAACUUCGGAAUUGCAUCCGAAACUGCAUAACUUGAGUGCAGGAUGGGAGAGCGGAAUUCUUGGUGUAGCGGUGAAAUGCGUUGAUAUCAAGAAGAACACCGGUGGCGAAGGCGGCUCUCUGGAAUGUUACUGACACUGAGGCACGAAAGCUGGGGGAGCAAACAGGAUUAGAUACCCUGGUAGUCCCAGCCGUAAACGGUGCACACUUGGUGUUGGAGGUAUUGACCCCUCCAGUGCCGGAGCUAACGCGUUAAGUGUGCCGCCUGGGGAGUACGGUCGCAAGGCUAAAACUCAAAGAAAUUGACGGGGGCCCGCACAAGCGGAGGAGCAUGUGGCUUAAUUCGAUGCAACGCGAAGAACCUUACCAGGGCUUGACAUGGGGACCCUUCGGGGGUGGGUGCGAAAGUACCCUUUACCAUCACAGGUGCUGCAUGGCUGUCGUCAGUUCGUGCCGUGAGGUGUUUGGUUAAGUCCAGCAACGAACGCAACCCCUGUGGCUAGUUGCCACCGCCGGUGUUAAGUCGGCGAGCACUCUAGCCAGACUGCCCGUACAAGCGGGAGGAAGGUGGGGAUGACGUCAAGUCAGUAUGGCCCUUACGCCCUGGGCUGCACACGUGCUACAAUGGUCGGUACAGAGGGAAGCAAAACCGCGAGGUCGAGCAAAUCCACAAAACCGGCCCCAGUUCGGAUUGGAGUCUGCAACUCGACUCCAUGAAGUUGGAUUCGCUAGUAACGGCGUAUCAGCUACGACGCCGUGAAUACGUUCCCGGGCCUUGUACACACCGCCCGUCACAUCAUGAAAGCCGUCUGCACCCGAAGUCACUGAUCUAAUCCCCUUGUGGGAAGGAAGGUGCCGAAGGUGUGGGUGGUGUUUGGGAUG
rnacentral:rRNA from 1 species